GGGGGUGCAGCUUAGUGGUGGCGUACAAGCUUAGCAGGCAUGAGGCACUGGGUUCCAUCCCCAGCACCACCA
rnacentral:tRNA from 1 species